GAAAGAAAUAGUAAGAGAGACAAGAAAGAAAUAGUAAAAUAGGUAGAAAAGUAGAGACAAGAAAGAAAUAGUAAGAGAGACAAGAAAGAAAUAGUAAAAUAGGUAGAAAAGUAAAGACAAGAAAGAAAUAGUAAGAGAGACAAGAAAGAAAUAGUAAGAGAGACAAGAAAGAAAUAGUAAAUUAGGUAGAAAAGUAGAGACAAGAAAGAAAUAGUAAGAGAGACAAGAAAGAAAUAGUAAGAGAGACAAGAAAGAAAUAGUAAAAUAGGUAGAAAAGUAAAGACAAGAAAGAAAUAGUAAGAGAGACAAGAAAAAAAUAGUAAGAGAGACAAGAAAGAAAUAGUAAAAUAGGUACAAAAGUAGAGACAAGAAAGAAAUAGUAAGAGAGACAAGAAAGAAAUAGUAAAAUAGGUACAAAAGUAGAGACAAGAAAGAAAUAGUAAGAGAGACAAGAAAGAAAUAGUAAGAGAGACAAGAAAGAAAUAGUAAAAUAGGUGCAAAAGUAGAGACAAGAAAGAAAUAGUAAAAUAGGUACAAAAGUAGAGACAAGAAAGAAAUAGUAAGAGAGACAAGAAAGAAAUAGUAA